UGACUUCAGUAGAAUCAGGAUU
rnacentral:miRNA from 2 species